GAUGAACGCUAGCGGCAGGCUUAACACAUGCAAGUCGAGGGGCAGCAUGACACGGAGAUUCGUCGAAGUGUUGAUGGCGACCGGCGCAAGGGUGCGUAACGCGUGAGCAACUUGCCCGUUUCUGGGGAAUAACCGGUGGAAACGCCGACUAAUACCCCAUAGUAUCACUUUUAGGCAUCUUGUGGUGAUUAAAGAAUUUCGGAAACGGAUAGGCUCGCGUGACAUUAGCUAGAUGGCGGGGUAACGGCCCACCAUGGCUACGAUGUCUAGGGGUUCUGAGAGGAAGGUCCCCCACACUGGAACUGAGACACGGUCCAGACUCCUACGGGAGGCAGCAGUGAGGAAUAUUGGUCAAUGGUCGAAAGACUGAACCAGCCAUGCCGCGUGAAGGUCACGGCCCUAUGGGUCUUAAACUUCUUUUGUUAGGGAGCAGUAAGGCGUACGUGUACGUCGAUGAGAGUACCUAACGAAUAAGCAUCGGCUAACUCCGUGCCAGCCGCCGCCGUAAGAC
rnacentral:rRNA from 1 species